rnacentral:rRNA from 1 species
CGCGUAGGCGGCUCCUUAAGUCAGGCGUGAAAGCCCGGGGCUCAACCCCGGAAGUGCGUUUGAAACUAAGAAGCUUGAGUACGGGAGAGGGAAGUGGAAUUCCUGGUGUAGAGGUGAAAUUCGUAGAUAUCAGGAGGAACACCGGUGGCGAAGGCGACUUCCUGGACCGAUACUGACGCUGAGGCGCGAAAGCGCGGGGAGCAAACA